GACGAACGCUGGCGGCGUGCCUAACACAUGCAAGUCGAACGGAAAGGCCCUGCUCUUGUGGGUUGCUCGAGUGGCGAACGGGUGAGUAACACGUGAGUAACCUGCCCUUGACUGUGGGAUAACUUCAGGAAACUGGGGCUAAUACCGGAUAGGAGCUCCUGCUGCAUGGUGGGGGUUGGUAAGUUUCGGCGGUUGGGGAUGGACUAGCGGCUUAUCGGCUUGUUUGUGGAGUAGUGGAGUACAAAGGCUUUGACGGGUAGCCGGCCUGAGAGGGUGACCGGCCACAAUAGUACUACGAGACGGAGCAGUAUGCUACGGGACGCAGCAGUGGGGAAUAUUGCACAGUGAGCGGAAGCCUGAUACGACAGCGUCGCGUUCGGGAUGCCCGCCUUCGAGUGGUGAACAGCUGUCGCCUGUGACGAAGCGGGCUUGACGGUAAUGGAUAAAAAAGCACCGGCUAACUACGUG
rnacentral:rRNA from 1 species